rnacentral:lncRNA from 1 species
UCGCAGACGCCCGCCAUGUUCCGAGAGCCACACACUGUCCCCGCCACCUCCCUCCAGCCGCCCGCCCGGCCUCCGCCUCCCGCCGGCCCCCUCGCCGCCUCGCCCCGCCCCUCGCCCGAGCCCGGGCAGCCGCCCUCCGUAGCCCGCCGGCCGGCGCGCGCCAUUGGCGUCAGCGGCGCGUGGGAGGCCGCGGUGGCCGCCGCCACGGCCGCCGCCAUCUUCUUCCUGCCGUCGCCGUGGCGCGCGGCGGGCUCUGCGGACCGGGGCGCCGCGCCGGGCUCCAUGCCGCCGGGUCGCGCGGUGGGGGACGGCGGGCGGCGGCGGGGCUCGGCGUGGUGGUCGGCGCGGCCGGAGCCCCUUGUGCCCGUGCGGUGGCCGGAGUGCGCCGGCGCGACCCGCCUGGCCUUGGCUGCGCGGCGACUGGAGCCGGGCUCCAGCUCUGUGGCUCCCGCCGGCGCCGACCCGGUAGCUCUGCCGUCUUGGCUGCAUCUCUCCUGCAUAUUUAUGAUCGUCUGUCACAUUCCCUGUCCGUGGACAGUGUCCAAAGCCUAGCUCGGGGGAGCGUGCCAACAGCCUGCUGAGGAUAUAGCCAAGUGGAGAACUGCUUAAGCAAAUUGAAAUGCAGGCCUGGCCUGAAAUUUUUCCUAGCUAACAGUCCAGUUUCACCUUGGAAAUAAGCUUGCUGAAGUUGAAAACAUGAUAGAAACUUUGCCUUAUUAUUUGCAAAUGCUUAUGAUACAGAAAAAAAAAAUUUAAGCUCUACCAGCCUGAAGCAUCCACCUGACAUAACCUUAACACUCCAGGGACUGCGUUGGGAUGGACAAAAUAAAGCAGCCGUGGGGCUAUUGCAGUCAGAUCCGUUCUUUCUUUCCGUGCUCACUCUGUAGAAGCCUGUCCCUGGGCUGCUCUGAUGGAGCCCCAAGCCUCUUCUGAUUUUGUACUUUGGAAUCUCUGAAUUGUUGCUUGCUCAAAUAAAUUCUUGAACAUUUU